rnacentral:lncRNA from 1 species
AUGGUUCCACUCUGGGUCCCUGGGAGCACUCUGGGUGGCUCCUGUGUCCCUUGCCAGGCCCUCAUUUUGGUUUUUGAGCACAUCCUUACUUUCUGCCAUGACUCUGGGCUCCAGGCUCAUCACAGUCCUCGCCUCAGCCCAGGAAGAAGCUCUUGUAACAAGGAGGCUGGUUCCUUCCACCAGAUACUGGCAUCGGAGACCAAGUCUGAGGUGGGGCACGGCUGCGGCUGCUGGGGUGCCCCUGCUUCCAGGGCUUCCCAGGGCCCCGAGCAGAGCUGGGAAAUCCGUCUGUGUAUUGUGCACACGAUGCACACUGAUCUAGAGCUAUUUCUGCAAUGUCGGAUCAAAGGCCCUCCAACACCAGGACCCGCGGAAGGGCACAGACUUCACAUCUCAGCUACCCUGGGGCAGGAGGAUCGAGUCCAGAGCAGACGCCUUCCACUUCCCACGGAGGGAACGCCUCGAAGGGACUCCUGCUUCUCCUGUGCAGCUCGGCAGGGCCGGCGUGCCCACGGCUGAACAGGUGGCAGGGAGGAGGAGGCCACAGUGGGCAGAAGCCACGAGGAAGGAAGGCUGGCCUUGGCAAGGACGGGCGUGUGGUCUUCGCUGGGGACAGGAGGAAAAGCUACAGGCGAGAGAAGCAGGUGGUGGUUGGCAUUACAGCUGUGCUGGCGAUGGGGAGUGGGUGGGGGUGCCUGGCCCCAGAACUGGACCAUUAGGCCCAUUACCCACCCCCACCCCCCACCCUGAGACGCGGGCUCCAGAGCUGCUGAUGCUGAGCCUCCCCCGCAGCUGCACUCUGGGAGCAGAGGCCCUGUCCUUCGUUCCUCUCUCGGCCUCUCAUAGUGCCCGCGGCCCGAGUGUCCCGAGCACUGUCAGGAAGCCGCCCGGCACUUGGGACACUCCUUCAAUUGCCUUUUUCAUGUCCCAAGGGUCUGACUUUUUCGGCGCGGUCCAUCCAGCUGCCUGCUUCGUUCCAAGUGUGUGACAAAGACAGGCCCUGCCCUCGGGGGUUCAGUCUGGGGGUGGGGGGGAGCCAGGCAUUAGGAAAGUAAGUUCUACGCUAUGGUAAGUGCCACGGAGGAAGAGAGCCACCUGUGACCGUGGGAGAGGACGGGGGGUACCCGGGCAUCACGCUCCCUGCGGAGCCCCUAGAGCAGCAGCCACGAGCUCCAGGGAACC